rnacentral:misc_RNA from 1 species
UACGGAGGGGGCUAGCGUUGUUCGGAAUUACUGGGCGUAAAGCGCGCGUAGGCGGAUUAGUCAGUUGGGGGUGAAAGCCCGGAGCUCAACUCCGGAAUUGCCUUCAAUACUGCUAGUCUUGAGUCCGAGAGAGGGUGGUGGAAUUCCCAGUGUAGAGGUGAAAUUCGUAGAUAUUGGGAAGAACACCAGUGGCGAAGGCGGCCACCUGGCUCGGUACUGACGCUGAGGUGCGAAAGCGUGGGGAGCAAACAGG